UACGUAGGUGGCAAGCGUUGUCCGGAUUUAUUGGGCGUAAAGAGCGUGUAGGCGGCUUUACAGGUCCGUUGUGAAAACUCGAGGCUCAACCUCGAGACGCCGGUGGAAACCGUAAGGCUAGAGUCCGGAAGAGGAGAGUGGAAUUCCUGGUGUAGCGGUGAAAUGCGCAGAUAUCAGGAGGAACACCCGUGGCGAAAGCGGCUCUCUGGGACGGUACUGACGCUGAGACGCGAAAGCGUGGGGAGCAAACAGG
rnacentral:rRNA from 1 species